AAAGCCUCUCUGCUCCUCUCCUCUCCCCAUCUGAUGUCUUCCCGCGUCCUCGGCACUGUGCGGAGCUGUCCGUACACCUGGAGCUGCACGGAUGCGGAUGGUGUGGUGCGGCUCCACAGUGGCCAUGGUGAGGGAGAGUUCCACUGGCCUGGAUACACUCCAGCCUCAGUCACUGCUCUCCCAAGGCAGGAGGGACACUGUGCAGACCAGACAAGUAAUGUCCACAUGCCAUGAGGAGUGUUUAGAAAGGAAGUCAUGAUACCAGAGGAGAGCAGACCCACGUGGGACCAGAGAGCAGUGACAAGCAACGUCCACGUGUAGGAACAGAGAGCUGCUGAAACCUCCCUAGAGGACAACUGG